rnacentral:rRNA from 1 species
GAUGAACGCUGGCGGCGUGCCUAAUACAUGCAAGUAGAACGCUGAAGGAAGGAGCUUGCUCUUUCUGGAUGAGUUGCGAACGGGUGAGUAACGCGUAGGUAACCUGCCUCUUAGCGGGGGAUAACUAUUGGAAACGAUAGCUAAUACCGCAUAAAAGUCGACAUUGCAUGAAGUUGACUUGAAAGGUGCAAAUGCAUCACUAAGAGAUGGACCUGCGUUGUAUUAGCUAGUUGGUGAGGUAACGGCUCACCAAGGCGACGAUACAUAGCCGACCUGAGAGGGUGAUCGGCCACACUGGGACUGAGACACGGCCCAGACUCCUACGGGAGGCAGCAGUAGGGAAUCUUCGGCAAUGGGGGGAACCCUGACCGAGCAACGCCGCGUGAGUGAAGAAGGUUUUCGGAUCGUAAAGCUCUGUUGUAAGAGAAGAACGAGUGUGAGAGUGGAAAGUUCACACUGUGACGGUAUCUUACCAGAAAGGGACGGCUAACUACGUGCCAGCAGCCGCGGUAAUACGUAGGUCCCGAGCGUUAUCCGGAUUUAUUGGGCGUAAAGCGAGCGCAGGCGGUUAGAUAAGUCUGAAGUUAAAGGCUGUGGCUUAACCAUAGUACGCUUUGGAAACUGUUUAACUUGAGUGCAAGAGGGGAGAGUGGAAUUCCAUGUGUAGCGGUGAA